GUGCUCACUUUGGCAGCACAUAUACUAAAAUUAGAACAAUACAGAGAAGAUUAGCAUGGUCCCUGCAUAAAAUAAGUUUUGUGUGUGUGUGUGUGGUUUUUUGUUUUG